AGCUGGGAAGGUCUGCUCUCUGGGGCUGGCCGCUGACUGAGCCAGCCAAGAGUUAUCUUGGGCCCUAGCAUGCAGCUCCCAGCUUGGCACAUGGGUACAGCCACUGUCAGUGGGUAGUCUCGUGAACUUUGUUGGGUCCUUAACAGUGCUUUGAGGCUCCUGACCCAUGUUGCCUGCUCUCUGGGGCUGCUGUGAGAGGCGAUCACACAGCCUCCUCUGUUUCAAUCCCAUGGGGAGUGACACUGUGUUGAAAGAGCCAUAUGGUGGCUGGAUGGUUUCAUGUCUUUGAUGCUGUAUGGCUGCCAUGUUAGGGUUCCUGGUCUGUCAAGGUGUGACUAGCUGUUGUCCAGUGCUUCUGUCAUCCGAGAGGAGCCACCGAAGCUGACAUGCCUCCUCGGCCAUGAUGGACUGAUGAUCCCCAGUACUUGGAAAUAACCCCUUCUUCACUUCAGUUGUCCCUCAGGUCCACUGUGAGGAAUGGGUGAGACAACAUGGGAAGAACAUCCACAGAGCUGACUCUG